rnacentral:rRNA from 1 species
GAUGAACGCUGGCGGCGUGCCUAAUACAUGCAAGUCGAGCGAACGGACGAGAAGCUUGCUUCUCUGCUGUUAGCGGCGGACGGGUGAGUAACACGUGGAUAACCUACCUAUAAGACUGGGAUAACUUCGGGAAACAGUAGCUAAUACUGGAUAAUAUUUUGAACCGCAUGGUUCAAAAGUGAAAGACGGUCUUGCUGUCACUUAUAGAUGGAUCCGCGCUGCAUUAGCUAGUUGGUAAGGUAACGGCUUACCAAGGCAACGAUGCAUAGCCGACCUGAGAGGGUGAUCGGCCACACUGGAACUGAGACACGGUCCAGACUCCUACGGGAGGCAGCAGUAGGGAAUCUUCCGCAAUGGGCGAAAGCCUGACGGAGCAACGCCGCGUGAGUGAUGAAGGUCUUCGGAUCGUAAAACUCUGUUAUUAGGGAAGAACAUAUGUGUAAGUAACUGUGCACAUCUUGACGGUACCUAAUCAGAAAGCCACGGCUAACUACGUG